rnacentral:lncRNA from 1 species
UCAUUUUUUAAAUUCCCAUCUUAUGUCAGACUCUACAAAGGUCUGCAAACCUCAGAGACAAAAUGAUUCUGCUUUUGUGGAGGUCACGUUCCAGCAGGAAAAGAGCCCUAGGACCCAUAAAUGAAGCGUCAUGUGGUCGACAUUAAAGUAAGGAGCCCGGAAAACGCAGGAAUCAAAGUUCCCCGGAUAUGCAACUCACACGCAACAAACAGACUCCACCCUCUGUGCUGCUUCAGGGAGAGGUAACAGGAACAGGCAUGAGCAUUCUCAUUUGUAGACGACGAGAAGAGGACCUGGAGUUUAAGCCACUUUCAAGACCACGCUACUCCUUAGGGGCAGAACCAGGAAUUCAAGCCAGAUCAUCUCAUUCCCAGAUAACAGAGAAUUCUCCACUGCCCAGAGACCUGCAUGAAAAGAAGUUCUUCCGGUUGAAGGGAAAUGCUACCAGACGUAAAGUCAAAUCUACGUAAAGAAAUGACGUACACCAAAAAUGGUGUGCAGGGACCUGGAUAUACUCAAAUGUUGGGAUUUUGCCCAGAGAUGGAGAAGGAGAGAGAAAUUAUCAAGAGAAAGGCAGAAGAGAUCACAAGGAUAGACAACAGAAUCUAAAUGGAUGAUCCGUGGAUUCAAACCAGGCAAGACAAGUAGACUCUGUCCAGAGACUAAGAGCAGUUUUCAAAUCCCAGAGGAUGAACAGCAAGGCAAGAACCCAUAAAGACCUCCUUGGAGCUGAAGGAUGAACACGGCCAUUGUAAGCUAGA